UACAGAGGUCCCAAGCGUUGUUCGGAUUCACUGGGCGUAAAGGGUGCGUAGGCGGUCGCGCAAGUCGGAUGUGAAAUCUCAGGGCUCAACCCUGAAACUGCAUUCGAUACUGCGUGGCUAGAGUGCUGGAGAGGAGACUGGAAUUUACGGUGUAGCGGUGGAAUGCGCAGAUAUCAGGAGGAACACCGAUGGCGAAGGCAGGUCGACUGGGCCGCAACUGACGCUGAGGAGCGAAAGCAUGGGGAGCGAACAGG
rnacentral:rRNA from 1 species